rnacentral:rRNA from 1 species
AUUGAACGCUGGCGGCAGGCCUAACACAUGCAAGUCGAGCGAGCGGCGGACGGGUGAGUCAUGCCUGGGAAUUGCCCUGUCGAGGGGGUUAACAGUUGGAAACGACUCCUAUUACCGCAUACGAUUUUAUUUCACAGGUUGGAUUAGCUAGUUGGUGGGGUAAUGGCUCACCAAGGCGACGAUCCCUGGCUGGUCUGCGAGGAUGAUCAGGCACACUGGAACUGAGACACGGUCCAGACUCCUACGGGAGGCAGCAGUGGGGAAUAUUGGACAAUGGGGGAAAGCCUGAUGCAGCCAUGCCGCGUGUGUGAAGAAGGGCUUCGGGUUGUAAAGCACUUUCAGCGAGGAGGCGUUACUCGCAGAAGAAGCACCGGCUAACUCCGUGCCAGCAGCCGCGGUAAUAC